AAUGAACGCUGGCGGCGCGCCUAAUACAUGCAAGUCGAGCGAGAAGACGUAGCAAUACGUUUGUAAAGCGGCGAACGGGUGAGGAAUACAUGGGUAACCUACCCUAGAGUGGGGAAUAACUAGCCGAAAGGUUAGCUAAUACCGCGUACGCUCCUUGGACUUCGGUUCAGGGAGGAAAGCGAUGCCGAGGGUAUCGCGCUCUUGGAUGGGCUCAUGUCCUAUCAGCUUGNGGUGAGGUAACGGCUCACCAAGGCUUCGACGGGUAGCUGGUCUGAGAGGACGAUCAGCCACACUGGCACUGCGACACGGGCCAGACUCCUACGGGAGGCAGCAGUAAGGAAUAUUGCGCAAUGGGCGAAAGCCUGACGCAGCGACGCCGCGUGGGGGAUGAA
rnacentral:rRNA from 1 species